GACGAACGCUGGCGGCGUGCCUAAUACAUGCAAGUCGAGCGAAGUUUUUCUGGUGCUUGCACUAGAAAAACUUAGUGGCGAACGGGUGAGUAACACGUAAAGAACCUGCCUCAUAGACUGGGACAACUAUUGGAAACGAUAGCUAAUACCGGAUAACAGUAUUUCUCGCAUGAGAGAUAUUUAAAAGUUGGUUAUGCUAACACUAUGAGAUGGCUUUGCGGUGCAUUAGCUAGUUGGUGGGGUAAAGGCCCACCAAGGCGACGAUGCAUAGCCGACCUGAGAGGGUGAUCGGCCACACUGGGACUGAGACACGGCCCAGACUCCUACGGGAGGCAGCAGUAGGGAAUCUUCCGCAAUGGGCGAAAGCCUGACGGAGCAACGCCGCGUGAGUGAAGAAGGAUUUCGGUUCGUAAAGCUCUGUUGUUAGGGAAGAAUGGAUAUGUAGUAACUAUACAUGUAAGAGACGGUACCUAACCAGAAAGCCACGGCUAACUACGUG
rnacentral:rRNA from 1 species